rnacentral:rRNA from 1 species
AUGCGCUCCAGUUCACCUCCUGCUGUGCCUUCAAGGCCGGCGACAGGCGCAGGGCACGAGGCAGACAAGACCGGCGACUGGCAUCUCGUCAAAUCACGGCGAGGCCCGCAUCGUCCGGCUUUGGAUGCCCAAGCAUUCAAGCCGCUACCUCUCCCGCUGUGGCUUAAAGGCCGUUGCUGCCGCUGCCUUGCUCCUGGGCAUAGAGCAAUGGUGUGCCGUGACCCAAUCCGUUGCUCUCGCUGUCUCCAAAACGGCCAUCGCGCCCGUGGUUGCAAGAAUAGGUGGCGCCCUCUGAGCUCGCUGCCGUGUCUCGCCUUCAUCCCGCCACCGCCGCUUCCCCGCCCGGCCCCUGCUGCGCCUCAAGCCCAGCCGCCCAAGUUUGGCCCUGGUCGGGGCUGGUCUCUCCCUCAAGCUUCGACGCCACCGCUGCUGCUCGGCUCCGCCACCUCCAUCAUGCCGCGCCUGGGAGAUGCGGCCCUCCAGCCAGACGAAGACUAUGUGGUCGUCUCCGCCACGCUAGAGAUGCAGGCGGAAUCGGCUCUGCUCACCUCCAACGCCGCCGUCGCCUGGUUCGAGGGCGCUCGUGAAGAUGUCCCCUGCCACACUGUCGCCGCCGCGUUUGCCUCCACCUUUGGGCUGCGGCAGGGGGACGUGAGCGUCGUCCGGCACUACCCCGAGCAAUACCUGGUGAGGUUCAUGUACCAGCACAACUGUGCCGACGCCGUCAACCGUGGCGACUUCCUCAUCGGCAACUCUAGGCUCUACAUCCGCGGAUGGCGGCUCGAGGCGCACGCUGACAACAAAGACAUGUUGUACCAUGUACACCUCUGCAUCGAAGGGAUCCUGGUGCAUGGGUGGAACAACUACAUCGCCUCGUUCGUCAUCGGCCGUGGAUGCUCGCUCGACUACAUAGAGCAGCGGUCCGUGCGCAGGGACGACACGCGUGACCUCUCGCUCUAG